UACGUAGGGUGCGAGCGUUGUCCGGAAUUAUUGGGCGUAAAGAGCUCGUAGGCGGUGUGUCACGUCGUUCGUGAAAACCUGCAGCUUAACUGUGGGCGUGCGGUCGAUACGGGCAUCACUGGAGUUCGGCAGGGGAGACUGGAAUUCCUGGUGUAGCGGUGAAAUGCGCAGAUAUCAGGAGGAACACCGGUGGCGAAGGCGGGUCUCUGGGCCGA
rnacentral:rRNA from 1 species